UAUGGCCAUAUCAUGUUGAAACACUGGUUUCCAUAUGAGCACUGAAGUUACGCAAUGUUGAGUCUGGUUAGUAUCUAGAUGAGCGACUGCUUGGGAAUAGCAAGUGCUGUAAG